AUGAACGCCGCUUGUGCGUGCGCAUGUGUGGGAUGACGACGAACAAGGUGCCGCGCGCAACCGGCCGCCCGAGAUACUCCCGACAGAACUUUACGGUCCAAUAACGCGUCGCCUUCACUUCCGCCAAUACUCGUUUUGAGAAGUCGAGGAGAGCAAAAAUAUUUUUUGGAAGUGUGUUGCCUUCAAGUUCCCCCGCACGCCAAGUUUGUUUGUGGGAGGGCAAUUUUUCAGUUUUUCAGUCAACUUUGGAAUCGUCAUUGAAACACAAGAACAAGCAAACACAUACGCGCAAGGUAGGCCGAGCCGGCUUAUUAUGAGCAGAAAUCGGAUCAUGUGAUUUCAUCUCCUAAAAAAAAAAAGGUGAAAGGCGCGCCACCCCUCUGCGUGGUCUACGUCGUCGUCUUCUUCUUCUUCUUCUUCGCUCUCUUAUAGUCUUACAGUGGCGUUGCGUCAGGAAGUUGCCGGAGUCAUCGAGGUCGCUCGCCAUCAAGACGUAACUCAAGUCUUCCUCUCCAAUGGCUGCGUCCAGUCGCCGAGUCGCGAGGUACAAAAGCAUCUUUCCGUGCGAUAUUAAUCAUAUCCGCGUCCUUCCGUAGCCGUUUUCCGAGAGAGCCGGAGCUGACCCCGGAUAACUUCGGACAAAAGGCCGGCUACGCCCCGGACUGGUCGCCAGUCAGCCGCAGAGCACACAUCAAUAAAAUUAAUUCCGUAUCCACAGUCCAAGCCGCUCAUCCUCAUAAGGGUGGCAGGAAAGCUGGAGUUUACCCCAGCUAACUUCGGACAAAAGGCGGACUAUUCCCCGAACUGGUCGCCAGUCGGUCGCAAAAAACACGUAUCGAUAAAAUGAAUAAAAAAAAAAUAAUAAUUUCAUAUCCACUUUCCAAACCACUUCUCCUCACGAGGGUUGCAGGAGAGCCGGAGCCUCAACUAAUUUCGGGACAAAAUGCGGAUUACCCGCUGAAAUGGUCGCCAGUCAGUUGCAAAGCACAUAUCAAUAAAAUGAAUCUAAUUCCAUAACCACUAUCCAAGCCACUUAUCCUCAUAAGGGUGACGGGAGAACUGGACCUUACCCCGGAUUACCAGGCGGAUUACACACUGGACAGGUCGCCAGUCAGUCGCCGAGCACGUAUCGAUAAACUGAAUAAAAUUAAUUCUAUAUCCAUUUUCCAAGUUGCUUAUCCUCACAAGGGUGGCGGGAGAGCUGGAGCUGAACCCAGCUAACCUCGGACAAAAGGUGGACUACACCUCAAACUGGUCGCCAGUCAAUCACAGAGCACAUAUCAAAAUGAAUUCCAGAUCCAUUUUUCAAGCUGCUCAACCUCACAAGGGUGACGGGAGAUCUGGAGCCUAUCGCAGCUGAGGUGGACUACACCCUGAACUGGUCACAACAACCUGAACCGGAGGUCCCGGUUGGACCCACACGGCAGAAAAAGGACAGGGAUGGACGGCAGGAACACGCGAAUAACGUUGAACUUGAACAAGAGGAUUAAGGACGGGCACGGCGAUUAAACGGACUGGCAGGUCCGUCCAAUUUGAAUCUCGGUUGAUCUGCGGCGCCAGUUAGCUUGCGCAGGCUGACACGACAAAGGCGGGCGAACGGCUGUCGCUCGCUCAUGAGCAAGGCAUCACGGCUAACGUCGGAAGAGAGGAGGAUCGCCCCCGCCGGUGCCGAAGUUGCCGUCCUGAUGUUGAAGAUAAUAGAGCGGAAGCAAGAGCGACUGGAUCGGGCACGGAUGGAGCAAAUGGAACCGCAAAUCCUCGAAUGCACACGCGUGGUUAAACAUUUACACCUUGACGAGGGUUUAACUCCCACACGCUUACAUUGCAUGUCAACAAAGUUGCAUGCGAGGAGGCCAGCGGGUUUGCGGAUGGUACGUUUCGGACGGCGACGACGCCUCCGUUUACCGACUUUGUUUGCCGCGUAAAGCGAGACGUUGUUCUUGUCAAAAGAUGGAGACGCACUCUUUUCAUUGGAAGGCCACGGAACGAGUGACGAUCAUCGCCGUGGUCACCACCGAUCCGACCGUUUUCUUGGACUGGAAAUCGAUGGAAAGCCAUUUCUGCUUUGUUUUCCCAAAAUUCCGCUUUGACACAUUUUCACGUGUUGGCAUUUUUAGUGUGCAAAACGUCGUGUUC